UGAAUGAAACAGGGGUGCUAUCGAAGGAUUCGAUUGGCUGAGAAAUACCCUUAACCCGAUCUUGAUAAUACUUGCGUGGGGAGUUUUCAAAACCAGUAU
rnacentral:ncRNA from 2 species